rnacentral:sRNA from 1 species
UGAGGCAAGCCCACCUCGGAAGGCCAGCUCAGGUCUCACGUCCACUUUGGGGCUCCAGGCAUGCGGGAACCCCAAUGCCAGUACGGCGUCCUCGGCUCCGUGCACCAGGCGCUCUUGACCCCCACGUCACGGAGGAGGCCUUGGCCUCAGACUCUCCUGCAUGGGGUCCAGCAGGAGCCACCGGUUUUGUGAUUCCUGGAGUCCGGCCACAUGGACCUGGCCUACCAAGAAGACUCAGGCUUGACAGUGCCCAGCCUCCCAGAGCAGCCUUCCCUACCCCGUGGGGCCACCUCUGAGCCACUUCCAGGCCUGGCGAGGGCCCUGAGCACCUACAGGACAUGGGACAGCCAGUGUCGCGGCCUGAAGAACUGUCCUCCCUUAACCUGGCUUCUCAGGCCUUGGAAGGGCGGCUCAAGGGUCUGCUCCUGGCCUGUGUCCAAGGCAGCCCUCCAGGUGUUGGCUAGGAUGGAUGCCAGGAUCCGGGUGCACCUGGCUCGCAUGGAUCCAUCCCCAACACCCUACCUGACGCCGGGUGUCCCUGGCAGGGAGGGGCAGUGGGACCAGCAAGCCCUGGCCCUGGCCUCCAGUCCUUCCACACACAAGUUCUUAUCCUGGGGUGGGCCAGGCCAGACAUGGUCACACUUACCCCUGCUCCUGCCUGGGGGACAGGGAGGGUCUGUGGGGCUCCCUCAGCCCUGGGGCUCAUGGGAUUGGGCCCCACUGACCCAGCCUGGUCUGUUGCAGUGAGAAUGAGGCUCUGUGGCGGGAGGUGGCCAGCCUUCGGCAGAAGCAUGCCCAGCAACAGAAAGUCGUCAACAAGGUGGGGGCAGGGCCAGAGGGCCGGCGGGGGCCCCACAAGGGCCAGGGUGACUGUGUCCUUUCUCCCCACAGCUCAUUCAGUUCCUGAUCUCACUGGUGCAGUCAAACCGGAUCCUGGGGGUGAAGAGAAAGAUCCCCCUGAUGCUGAACGACAGUAGCUCAGCACAUUCCAUGCCCAAGUACGGCCGGCAGUUCUCCCUGGAGCACGUCCAUGGCUCGGGCCCCUACUCGGCCCCCUCCCCGGCCUACAGCAGCUCCAGCCUCUACGCCCCCGAUGCUGUGGCCAGCUCUGGACCCAUCAUCUCCGACAUCACCGAGCUGGCUCCUGCCAGCCCCGUGGCCUCCCCUGGCGGGAGCAUAGACGAGAGGCCCCUGUCCAGCAGCCCCCUGGUGCGUGUCAAGGAGGAGCCCCCCAGCCCGCCUCAGAGCCCCCGGGUAGAGGAGGCGAGUCCCGGGCGCCCAUCUUCCGUGGACACCCUUUUGUCCCCGACCGCCCUCAUUGACUCCAUCCUGCGGGAGAGUGAACCUGCCCCCGCCUCCGCCACAGCCCUCACGGAUGCCAGGGGCCACACGGACACCGAGGGCCGGCCUCCCUCACCCCCGCCCACCUCCACCCCUGAAAAGUGCCUCAGCGUAGCCUGCCUGGACAAGAAUGAGCUCAGUGACCACUUGGAUGCUAUGGACUCCAACCUGGACAACCUGCAGACCAUGCUGAGCAGCCACGGCUUCAGCGUGGACACCAGUGCCCUGCUGGACGUGAGUCGAGCCCCGCCUCCCCGCCCUGCCCCGCCCCGCCCCCGGGUGCUGUUCUGACUUCCCUCCCUCCUCCGCAGCUGUUCAGCCCCUCGGUGACCGUGCCCGACAUGAGCCUGCCUGACCUUGACAGCAGCCUGGCCAGUGUGCGUAGGCGGGCGGGGGGUGAGGGGGAAUGAGACCAGCAGGAGUGCUCACAAUACCAUCUCCUCCACCCCACAGAUCCAAGAGCUCCUGUCUCCCCAGGAGCCCCCCAGGCCUCCCGAGGCAGAGAACAGCAGCCCGGAUUCAGGUGAGCCAAGUCCCACCAGCCCCAUCUCUGCCCCCAACCCCCACUGCCUUGACACCCCCACCCCCACAGGGAAGCAGCUGGUACACUACACAGCGCAGCCGCUGUUCCUGCUGGACCCCGGCUCCGUGGACACCGGGAGCAACGACCUGCCGGUGCUGUUUGAGCUGGGAGAGGGCUCCUACUUCUCUGAAGGGGACAGCUUCGCAGAGGACCCCACCAUCUCCCUGCUGACAGGCUCGGAGCCUCCCAAAGCCAAGGACCCCACUGUCUCCUAGAGGCCCUGGAGGAGCUGGGCCAGCCAUGGCCUGCCCACCCCCACCCCAGUGCAGGGCUGGUCUUGGGGAGGCAGGGCAGCCUCGCGGUCUUGGGCACUGGUGGGUCGGCCGCCAUAGCCCCAGUAGGACAAACGGGCUCGGGUCUGGGCAGCACUUCUGGUCAGGAGGGUCACCCCGGCCUGCCAGUCUGCCUUCCCCCAACCCCGUGUCCUGUGGUUUGGUUGGGGCUUCACAGCCACACCUGGACUGACCCUGCAGGUUGUUCAUAGUCAGAAUUGUAUUUUGGAUUUUUACACAACUGUCCUGUUCCCCGCUCCAUAGAGAUAUACAAAUAUAUACACACAGUGGAUGGAUGGACAAGACAGGCAGAGAUCUAUAAACAGACAGGCUCU